CAAUAGCGUAUAUUAAAGUUGUUGCAGUUAAAAAGCUCGUAGUUGGAUUUCUGAUCGAGACAUCAGGUCGGGUCCGAGAGGAUCAUGUACUUUGAUUUUGUUUUGAUCAUCCUUGGGGAGAGCAUUUCUGGCAUUCAGUUGUCGGGAUUGGGAUCCUCAUCGUUUACUGUGAAAAAAUUAGAGUGUUCAAAGCAGGCCUCGGCCUCUGAAUACAUUAGCAUGGAAUAAUAAGAUAGGACUUUGGUGGUCUAUUUUGUUGGUUUGCACGCCAAAGUAAUGAUUAAUAGGGAUAGUUGGGGGUAUUCGUAUUCAAUUGUCAGAGGUGAAAUUCUUGGACUUAUGGAAGACGAACUACUGCGAAAGCAUUUACCAAGGAUGUUUUCAUUAA
rnacentral:rRNA from 1 species